rnacentral:rRNA from 1 species
UAAGAGGUCCCGCCUGCCCUGUGACUUAAGGUUUAACGGCCGCGGUAUUUUGACCGUGCAAAGGUAGCGCAAUCACUUGUCUUUUAAAUGGAGACCUGUAUGAAUGGCACGACGAGGGCUUAACUGUCUCCUUCCUCCAGUCAAUGAAAUUGAUCUCCCCGUGCAGAAGCGGGGAUACCCCCAUAAGACGAGAAGACCCUGUGGAGCUUUAGACUUACGGCAGGACCAUGUCAAGCACCCCUGGCUAACGGCCUAAACUAAUUGGCUCCCUCCUACAUGUCUUUGGUUGGGGCGACCGCGGGGAAAUAAAAAACCCCCAUGUGGAAUGGGAGCACCUCUACUCCUACAACCAAGAGCCACAGCUCUAGGUAACAGAAUUUCUGACCAGUCAGAUCCGGCAUAGCCGAUCAACGGACCGAGUUACCCCAGGGAUAACAGCGCAAUCCUCUUCUAGAGCCCAUAUCGACAAGGGGGUUUACGACCUCGAUGUUGGAUCAGGACAUCCUAAUGGUGCAGCCGCUAUUAAGGGUUCGUUUGUUCAACG